GCAGACGCGAGCGCUGAGGAGCUAGACUGCGCUUUCACAUCGUAGCACGGGAGCCUAGCAAUACACCAAGUGCUGAAUCUACAGCGACGAGGCGUCACAGUUGCAGAUCCUUGUCGCGAGUAUUUUUGUGCGGGCUUUGUGACCCCACGUUACCUGUCAGAGAUGAAGCUUUUUGCAGUUCUUUUGGCGUGUUUAUUAUUUGCCACAUUAUCGGAGUGCUAUCAGGAAAACUAUAAAUAUCAAGAAUGUAAACCAAGGAAGUAUCCUGGGCUUUUAGAAAAGAAGCCCUGUUUUACUGGAAACAACACAAUCCAGCACGGGAAAACAGGAGAUACUGGCAGUAGUAGGUGCCUUGGGGCUUACUGCUGGUAUGGGCACUUAAUUCCUAUACAAUGCCCAUUUGCAAAGCCUAAAGAUGGAAAGUUUAUUUACACACGUCGAAAUGCCACUUGGCCAAACUGUUGCUAUUUCACUAGAACGUGCAAACAAUAAACAAGGCUACACAUCGCACCCCAGCGACCAUUUCAUAGGAUUAAAACAGAAGUAACGGUCGCAUCUAACUAUCUGCCUAAGUGUGCGUGUAAACAGUUUGGUCAUCUUGCGGUACUUUUUUCGGACUUUAUCAUCGUAUACUUUUGUAAUAAUAAAGAUGUUUAUGU